rnacentral:rRNA from 1 species
ACGGGGUGCAGCAGGCGCGAAAACUCCACAAUGUACGGAAGUACGAUGGGGUUAUCUCGAGUGCAGUCCGAUAAGGGCUGCUUUUCCAUAGAGUAAUAUCCUGUGGGAAUAAGAGGGGGGCAAGACUGGUGUCAGCCGCCGCGGUAACACCAGCCCCUCGAGUGGUGGGGAAUAUUAUUUGGCCUAAAGCGUCCGUAGCUGGCUGUAUCCGUCUCCCGGUAAAUCCGGCGUCCUAAGCGUCGGUUCUCGGGUGAUACCAUACAGCUAGAGGGUGGGAUAGGUGAGCGGUAUUUUUGGGGUAGGGGCGAAAUCCUUUGAUCCCAGGAGGACCACCAGUGGCGAAGGCUGCUGACUAGAACACGCCUGACGGUCAGGGACGAAAGCUGGGGCAGCGAACCGGAUUAGAUACCCGGGUAGUCCCAGCUGUAAACGAUGCAGGCUAGGUGUUGGGUCGGCCACGCGCCGCCCCAGUGCCGCAGGGAAGCCGUUAAGCUAGCCGCCUGGGGAGUACGGUCGCAAGGCUGAAACUUAAAGGAAUUGGCGGGGGAGCAC